rnacentral:rRNA from 1 species
UACGUAGGGGGCUAGCGUUGUCCGGAAUCAUUGGGCGUAAAGCGCGUGUAGGCGGCUCGAUAAGUCUGUUGUGAAAGCCCAGGCUCAACCCUGGAACGCCGAUGGAUACUGUCGAGCUAGAGUCCGGAAGAGGCGAGUGGAAUUCCUGGUGUAGCGGUGAAAUGCGCAGAUAUCAGGAGGAACACCAAUGGCGAAGGCAGCUCACUAAGCCAUAACUGACGCUGAUGCACGAAAGCGUGGGGAGCAAACAGG